rnacentral:rRNA from 1 species
UCCUACGGGAGGCAGCAGUGAGGAAUAUUGGACAAUGGUCGGAAGACUGAUCCAGCCAUGCCGCGUGAAGGAUGACGGUCCUAUGGAUUGUAAACUUCUUUUGUACGGGAGCAAUAAGGUAUACGUGUAUACCGAUGAGAGUACCGUACGAAUAAGCAUCGGCUAACUCCGUGCCAGCAGCCGCGGUAAUACGGAGGAUGCGAGCGUUAUCCGGAUUUAUUGGGUUUAAAGGGUGCGUAGGCGGCGCAGCAAGUCAGCGGUGAAAUGCAAGGGCUUAACCCUUGACGUGCCGUUGAAACUGUCGUGCUAGAAUGCGGAUGCUGUGGGAGGAAUGUGUAGUGUAGCGGUGAAAUGCAUAGAUAUUACACAGAACACCGAUUGCGAAGGCAUCUCACAAAUCCGCGAUUGACGCUGAGGCACGAAAGUGCGGGGAUCAAACAGGAUUAGAUACCCUGGUAGUCC